UACAGAGGUCCCAAGCGUUGUUCGGAUUCACUGGGCGUAAAGGGUGCGUAGGUGGCUUGGAAAGUUUGAUGUGAAAGCUCAGGGCUCAACCCUGAAAUGGCAUUGAAUACUAUCGAGCUGGAGGUUUGGAGGGGGGACUGGAAUUCUUGGUGUAGCAGUGAAAUGCGUAGAUAUCAAGAGGAACACCAGUGGCGAAGGCGAGUCCCUGGAAAACAACUGACACUGAGGCACGAAAGCGAGGGGAGCAAACAGG
rnacentral:rRNA from 1 species